rnacentral:rRNA from 1 species
AUGUCCCGUUAUCGAGGACCUCGUUUAAAAAAAAUUCGUCUGGGAGCUUUACCAGGACUCACUAGAAAAACACCUAAAUCAAGAAGUAAUCUUAAAAAAUUCAAUUCUGGGGAAAAGGAGCAAUAUCGUAUUCGUCUUCAAGAAAAACAGAAAUUGUGUUUUCAUUAUGGUCUGACAGAACGACAAUUACUUAGAUUUGUACAUAUCGCUGGAAAAGCAAAAAGGUCAACACGCCAGGUUUUACUACAAUUACUUGAAAUGUGUUUGGAUAAUAUCCUUUUUCGAUUGGGUAUGGCUUCAAACAUUCCUGGGGCCCGCCAAUUAGUAAACCAUAGACAUCUUUUAGUUAAUGGUCAUAUAGUCAAUAUACCAAGUUUUCGUUGCAAACCCCGAGAUAUUAUUACUACGAAACAUAAACAAAGAUCAAAAGGCCUGGUUCAAAAUUAUAUUGCUCCAUCGGACCUAGGGAAAUUGCCAAAGCAUUUGGCGAUUGACACGUUGGAAUAUAAAGGACUAGUAAAUAAAAUCCUAAAUAGGAAGUGGGUCGGUCUCAAAAUAAAUGAGUUGUUAGUUGUAGAAUAUUACUCUCGUCAGACUUGA